GAUAGUUUGAUCCUGGCUCAGGACGAACGCUGGCGGCGUGCCUAAUACAUGCAAGUCGAGCGGACAGAUGGGAGCUUGCUCCCUGAUGUUAGCGGCGGACGGGUGAGUAACACGUGGGUAACCUGCCUGUAAGACUGGGAUAACUCCGGGAAACCGGGGCUAAUACCGGAUGGUUGUUUGAACCGCAUGGUUCAGACAUAAAAGGUGGCUUCGGCUACCACUUACAGAUGGACCCGCGGCGCAUUAGCUAGUUGGUGAGGUAACGGCUCACCAAGGCGACGAUGCGUAGCCGACCUGAGAGGGUGAUCGGCCACACUGGGACUGAGACACGGCCCAGACUCCUACGGGAGGCAGCAGUAGGGAAUCUUCCGCAAUGGACGAAAGUCUGACGGAGCAACGCCGCGUGAGUGAUGAAGGUUUUCGGAUCGUAAAGCUCUGUUGUUGGGGAAGAACAAGUGCCGUUCAAAUAGGGCGGCACCUUGACGGUACCUAACCAGAAAGCCACGGCUAACUACGUGCCAGCAGCCGCGGUAAUACGUAGGUGGCAAGCGUUGUCCGGAAUUAUUGGGCGUAAAGGGCUCGCAGGCGGUUUCUUAAGUCUGAUGUGAAAGCCCCCGGCUCAACCGGGGAGGGUCAUUGGAAACUGGGGAACUUGAGUGCAGAAGAGGAGAGUGGAAUUCCACGUGUAGCGGUGAAAUGCGUAGAGAUGUGGAGGAACACCAGUGGCGAAGGCGACUCUCUGGUCUGUAACUGACGCUGAGGAGCGAAAGCGUGGGGAGCGAACAGGAUUAGAUACCCUGGUAGUCCACGCCGUAAACGAUGAGUGCUAAGUGUUAGGGGGUUUCCGCCCCUUAGUGCUGCAGCUAACGCAUUAAGCACUCCGCCUGGGGAGUACGGUCGCAAGACUGAAACUCAAAGGAAUUGACGGGGGC
rnacentral:rRNA from 1 species